rnacentral:tRNA from 1 species
UCCCAGUUAGUACAACGGUUAGUAUACGGCACUUUCACUCUCUGCGCACGCAGGUGAACUGCUGAGAUCGGGGUUCGAUUCCCCGGCCGGGAA